AGCGAACGCUGGCGGCAGGCUUAACGCAUGCAAGUCGAGCGGGCACUUUCGGGUGUCAGCGGCGGACGGGUGAGUAACGCGUGGGAACGUGCCCUCUGGUUCGGAAUAACUCAGGGAAACUUGAGCUAAUACCGGAUACGCCCUUUUGGGGAAAGGCUUGCUGCCGGAGGAUCGGCCCGCGUCUGAUUAGCUAGUUGGUGAGGUAACGGCUCACCAAGGCGACGAUCAGUAGCUGGUCUGAGAGGAUGAUCAGCCACACUGGGACUGAGACACGGCCCAGACUCCUACGGGAAGCAGCAGUGGGGAAUAUUGGACAAUGGGCGCAAGCCUGAUCCAGCCAUGCCGCGUGAGUGAUGAAGGCCUUAGGGUUGUAAAGCUCUUUUAUCCGGGACGAUAAUGACGGUACCGGAGGAAUAAGCCCCGGCUAACUUCGUG
rnacentral:rRNA from 1 species